UUGCUUGAUUGGUGUGCGGUUGAAGUAAGCAGUGUGUAAAUCAAACCAGACAAACCCACGGAAUCUCCAAACAUGGAUUAAGCACGACGUAGAUGAAGCACUGGGACUUUCUGUGUUAUUGAUACGCCGGCCACUUGACUGACUACAGUGAGGCAAAAUUACAAAUAAUAUUAUGGUUGCCGAACGCAGGAGGGAUGACGUGGAUUUUGUUGUUACAAGGAAACACUCCAAGACAGAUGUGCAUACACAGUAUGUCUGUGGGUCUCGUUUCCUGAAUCCAUCUUCAUUGGGACUUGCUAACAUGGAAAAACAGUAAUGAGGACUCUGAGUUUCAAAAUAAAGAGAAAUUUGAC